rnacentral:rRNA from 1 species
UUAUUGGAGAGUUUGAUCCUGGCUCAGGACGAACGCUGGCGGCGUGCCUAAUACAUGCAAGUCGAGCGAAUCAAUGGGAGCUUGCUCCCUGAGAUUAGCGGCGGACGGGUGAGUAACACGUGGGUAACCUGCCUGUAAGAUUGGGAUAACUCCGGGAAACCGGAGCUAAUACCGGAUAACAUUUCGAACCGCAUGGUUCGAAAUUGAAAGAUGGCGUCUAGCUAUCACUUACAGAUGGACCCGCGGCGCAUUAGCUAGUUGGUGAGGUAACGGCUCACCAAGGCAACGAUGCGUAGCCGACCUGAGAGGGUGAUCGGCCACACUGGG